GACGAACGCUGGCGGCGUGCUUAACACAUGCAAGUCGAACGGAAAGGCCCUGCUUUUGUGGGGUGCUCGAGUGGCGAACGGGCGAGUAACACGUGAGUAACCUGCCCUUGACUUUGGGAUAACUUCAGGAAACUGGGGCUAAUACCGGAUAGGAGCUCCUGCUGCAUGGUGGGGGUUGGAAAGUUUCGGCGGUUGGGGAUGGACUCGCGGCUUAUCAGCUUGUUGGUGGGGUAGUGGCUUACCAAGGCUUUGACGGGUAGCCGGCCUGAGAGGGUGACCGGCCACAUUGGGACUGAGAUACGGCCCAGACUCCUACGGGAGGCAGCAGUGGGGAAUAUUGCACAAUGGGCGGAAGCCUGAUGCAGCAACGCCGCGUGCGGGAUGACGGCCUUCGGGUUGUAAACCGCUUUCGCCUGUGACGAAGCGUGAGUGACGGUAAUGGGUAAAGAAGCACCAGCUAACUACGUG
rnacentral:rRNA from 1 species